rnacentral:pre_miRNA from 1 species
GGGAAGUGUGUGUGUGUGUGUGUGUGUGUGUGUGUGUGUGUGUGUGUGUGCACAUGCGUGCGCCCGUGCACACGC